AUACGGAGGAUGCGAGCGUUAUCCGGAUUUAUUGGGUUUAAAGGGAGCGUAGGUGGGAUAUUAAGUCAGCUGUGAAAGUUUGGGGCUCAACCUUAAAAUUGCAGUUGAUACUGGUUUCCUUGAGUACGGUACAGGUGGGCGGAAUUCGUGGUGUAGCGGUGAAAUGCUUAGAUAUCACGAAGAACUCCGAUCGCGAAGGCAGCUCACCGGGCCGGAACUGACACUGAUGCUCGAAAGUGCGGGUAUCAAACAGGAUUAGAUACCCUGGUAGUCCACGCAGUAAACGAUGAUUACUAGCUGUUUGCGAUAUACAGUAAGUGGCACAGCGAAAGCGUUAAGUAAUCCACCUGGGGAGUACGCCGGCAACGGUGAAACUCAAAUGAAUUGGCGGGG
rnacentral:rRNA from 1 species